rnacentral:lncRNA from 1 species
UUUAAUAGGACCUUUCUCAGCUUGGACUGAACGGCAAAGGAAGAUCUCAAAGCUUUCCUUUGAAGCCAAAAUGUAAUGUGAUCUUAUCAUUAGAUUAUAAUCCAAAAAAAAAAGGUUGUGCUUUUUGGCAUGGGGCCAUUUCAUUGUUUGACUAAAGCAUUGGUAGCUGUCAUCAUGGCCUGAUGGUCCUAUGCUCAGCAAGCGAGCUUGAAGCUAUAAACC